UACGGAGGAUGCAAGCGUUAUCCGGAAUGAUUGGGCGUAAAGCGUCCGCAGGUGGCAAUGUAAGUCUGCUGUCAAAGCGUCUGGCUCAACCAGAUAAAGGCAGUGGAAACUACAUAGCUAGAGUAAGGUAGGGGUAGAGGGAAUUCCUGGUGUAGCGGUGAAAUGCGUAGAUAUCAAGUGGAACACCAGUGGCGAAGGCGAAUCCCUGGAAAAUACCUGACACUGAGGCACGAAAGCUAGGGGAGCAAACAGG
rnacentral:rRNA from 1 species